AAGGCAAGUCAUUUAGCAAUGAAAAUCCAGGGAUCUCAACUUCUGUGUCAUACUGGAAUAUCAGCUGCUGAGCGUGACGUGACUUUCCCGAGGUGACAGAGUGAGUCAGUGGCACAGCUGCAAACACAAAUUGUCAUUGGUUCCUAGGUCUGCCUCAUCCCUGCCAUGUGCAGAUACCACAGAAGAGCUCACUGCUUAAACCGCCUGGUGUUUGAGCUAGGAGGACGCACAGACACACUGGACCUAGAAAGACUAGAAAAACACUGCAGGUCUCAUCCUCAGACAUCUUUCUGUGAGAAAUGAGGGCCGAUCCUGGGGCCAGAUGGAUUCCUAACACUCGGGCUGCAAAAAUAGGAUCAUGCUGUUACUCACCGAAUUUUACCAGACACUGCAGUUUCUACAAGGUGAGUUUUUCCUAAGAAAAAAUAGCAUUGGUUUGUAUUUAUUAAACACACACACACAAA